UGAAUCUGAAAACGCAUCACACGGUAUAGCUGACUUAUAUAAAUCCUGUAGCCAAAUUUCAGAAAUCCUUGUAUUGUAGUUCCUGAGAAAAAUGUGACGAAAAUUUUCAACUUGGCUAUCAUGUGUAAAAUCAUACAAGUGUUCGGUAAACAGGAAGUUGUCGAGUGAUGAAUCUGAAAACGCAUCACACGGUGUAGCUGACUUAUAUAAAUCCUGAAACCAAAUUUCAGAAAUCCUUGUAUUGUAGUUCCUGAGAAAAAUGUGACGAAAAUUUUCAACUUGGCUAUCAUGUGUAAAUCAGACAAGUGUUCGGUAAACAGGAAGUUGUCAAGUGAUGAAUCUGAAAACGCAUCACACGGUGUGGCUGACAUAUAUAAAUGUUGAUACCAAAUUACAGAAAGGGUGGAUGUGUAGUUCCUGAGAAAAAUGUGACGAAAGUUUCAUGGGACGGACUGACUGACUGACGGACGGACGGACUGACAGACAGAGGUAAAACAGUAUACCCCCCCUUUUUUAAAGCGGGGGUAUAAUAAACAGU
rnacentral:lncRNA from 1 species